CACUGUUGGGAUCCGGAGCUGUUCAUCCACCAGAGGGCGCUGGAGGCCUUGUUCCAUCUGAGGGCGUCUCCUGAACCACGCACCUGAAACCGUUCUGCCAUCAGGAGCUGUAUAACUGGAGGAGGCUGCUGACACUUCCCUGCCAGAUUGUUAGCUAGUUAUGCUGAUUGACCUGAGACGUGCUGAAGAUAGAUCCAGCCCAGGACCCCUCCGAACCUACAGCUCGGCAGCCUGCUUCUGGCAGAACAGUUCAGACUUACCUGUCCGUCCUCCAACGCCGCCGCAGCCCGCAGCCCUCCGCACCUCAAAACAGACUCCGGAUUUCCCAGGUUUUUUCCCCCAGUCCUUUCUCCUUCCGAUCGGAGCUGACCUGAGAUCCAGUCCCAAGCGCUCCCGGAUUGUUUAUCUGUUUUUUCCCCCUUCCCCUUGGUUGUAAUAAAUCUCUUUAAUCAA